rnacentral:rRNA from 1 species
AUUGAACGCUGGCGGCAGGCCUAACACAUGCAAGUCGAGCGGCAGCGGGAAAGUAGCUUGCUACUUUUGCCGGCGAGCGGCGGACGGGUGAGUAAUGCCUGGGGAUCUGCCCAGUCGAGGGGGAUAACUACUGGAAACGGUAGCUAAUACCGCAUACGCCCUACGGGGGAAAGCAGGGGACCUUCGGGCCUUGCGCGAUUGGAUGAACCCAGGUGGGAUUAGCUAGUUGGUGAGGUAAUGGCUCACCAAGGCGACGAUCCCUAGCUGGUCUGAGAGGAGGACCAGCCACACUGGAACUGAGACACGGUCCAGGCUACUACGGGAGGCAGCAGUGGGGAAUAUUGCACAAUGGGGGAAACCCUGAUGCAGCAUGCCGCGUGUGUGAAGAAGGCCUUCGGGUUGUAAAGCACUUUCAGCGAGGAGGAAAGGUUGGUAGCUAAUAACUGCCAGCUGUGACGUUACUCGCAGAAGAAGCACCGGCUAACUCCGUGCCAGCCGCCGCCGUAACAC